rnacentral:rRNA from 1 species
UACGUAGGGGGCAAGCGUUGUCCGGAAUCAUUGGGCGUAAAGCGCGUGUAGGCGGCUCGAUAAGUCUGCUGUGAAAGUCCAGGGCUCAACCCUGGGAUGCCGGUGGAUACUGUCGAGCUCGAGUCCGGAAGAGGCGAGUGGAAUUCCUGGUGUAGCGGUGAAAUUCGUAGAUAUCGGGAGGAACACCAGUGGCGAAGGCGGCGACCUGGGCCAAUAUUGACGCUGAGGUGCGAAAGCGUGGGGAGCAAACAGG